rnacentral:misc_RNA from 1 species
AGGAAGCUUUACAAAUUGGAAUGAACGGGAAAAAAGUUGAGGGCUUAGCAUCAAGUAUGAAUGGAAGUGCACAGACAGUAGCCAUCAGGACUUUUCUCCAUUGGACAAAGGAUGUAGUGAGGAUUGAUUCCAAGUCAACAAAUACAUUUGGUCAAACAACAGGGGGGGAGAGUACCCAAGUUGACUUUCAACCAAAUUGCAAUACACAUAACCUUAGUUGCAAGGUGAGUGACUGAGUUUGACUACGUUGGAUUACAAAUCAUAGCCAAUGGCAGUAAGAGAAGUGGCAUUCUAGGGAUAGUGAGUCGGGUAUUUGCAGG